UGUGUGUGUGUGUGUGUGUGUCACCUCCUGGCAAGCAGCUCCUCUUCGUCCCCGUCGCUCUCAGGGACAGAACCCUCCACUAUCGUCUCAUCGCUGUCGGUCUCGCAGAGCACCUUACAGGAGGAAAGGACUUGGGAUGAUGAUGAUGAUGAUGAUGAUUUUAUACCCCACUCAUCUGGCUGAGUUUGCCCAGUCACUCUGCUCGGCUCCCAAAAGACUAUUAAAAACACGAUAAAGAGGUAGCUGUGCAAGGCGGCCGCUUAUAACGAAAACAAAUAAAUUACAAACGAGUAAGAGAUGAGAAAGUGCUACCCAUUAGCUGGGCAGAACACGGGGACGAUUGCCAGCCGAGAGAGAUCACUUGGCAAGAUUUCUGAAUCUUAACUUCCGCUGCUGAAAUACAAUUAAAAAGGUAUGCAUUUAA